rnacentral:tRNA from 1 species
GCUCCUAUGGUGGAAUUGGUAGACACGAGGGACUUAAAAUCCCUUAGCCAGUAAUGGCUGUGCAAGUUCAACUCUUGUUAGGAGUA